CCUACGGGAGGCAGCAGUGAGGAAUAUUGGUCAAUGGGCGAGAGCCUGAACCAGCCAAGUCGCGUGAGGGAGUACUGCCCUAUGGGUUGUAAACCUCUUUUGUCGGGGAGCAAAAGCCGGACGUGUCCGGCUGUGAGAGUACCCGAAUAAAAAGCAUCGGCUAACUCCGUGCCAGCCGACGCGGGAAUACGGAGGAUGCGAGCGUUAUACGGAUUUUUUGGGUUUAAAGGGUGCGCAGGCGGGUUUUUAAGUCAGCGGUAAAAUCGUGGGGCUCAACCCCAUCCAGCCGUUGAAACUGGGGAUCUAGAGUGUGCGAGAGGUAUGCGGAAUGCGUGGUGUAGCGGUGAAAUGCAUAGAUAUCACGCAGAACCCCGAUUGCGAAGGCAGCAUACCGGUGCACAACUGACGCUCAGGCACGAAAGCGUGGGUAUCGAACAGGAUUAGAUACCCGGGUAGUC
rnacentral:rRNA from 1 species